AACGCGAAGAACCUUACCUGGGCUCGAACGGCUAUGGACAAUCCUUGGAAACAGGGACUUCUCGCAAGGGACUGUAGUCGAGGUGCUGCAUGGCUGUCGUCAGCUCGUGUCGUGAGAUGUUGGGUUAAGUCCCGCAACGAGCGCAACCCUUGUCCUGUGUUGCCAUCAUUUAGUUGGGCACUCUCAGGAGACCGCCAGCGAUAAGCUGGAGGAAGGUGGGGAUGAUGUCAAGUCAUCAUGGCCUUUAUGUCCAGGGCUACACACGUGCUACAAUGGCCGGUACAAAGCGCUGCAAACUCGCAAGAGGGAGCUAAUCGCAAAAAACCGGUCUCAGUUCGGAUCGCAGGCUGCAACUCGCCUGCGUGAAGCUGGAAUCGCUAGUAAUGCCGUAUCAGAACGAUGGCGUGAAUACGUUCCCGGGUCUUGUACACACCG
rnacentral:rRNA from 1 species